CCCUUAGAUGUCCGGGGCCGCACGCGCGCUACACUGAAGGAAUCAGCGUGGCUUUCUCCCUGACCCGAAAGGGUUGGGAAACCCGUUGAAUCUCCUUCGUGAUAGGGAUUGGGGCUUGAAAUUGUUCCCCAUGAACGAGGAAUUCCCAGUAAGCGCGAGUCAUAAGCUCGCGUUGAUUACGUCCCUGCCCUUUGUACACACCGCCCGUCGCUACUACCGAUUGAACGGUUUAGUGAGGGCCUCGGAUUGGUCUCGGCCCGCUCUUUACCGGGCGGCGCCGUUGGUCGAGAAGACGCUCGAACUUGAUCGUUUAGAGGAAGUAAAAGUCAUAACA
rnacentral:rRNA from 1 species